rnacentral:rRNA from 1 species
CGUCACACUAUCAUUAACUGAAUCCAUAGGUUAAUGAGGCGAACCGGGGGAACUGAAACAUCUAAGUACCCCGAGGAAAAGAAAUCAACCGAGAUUCCCCCAGUAGCGGCGAGCGAACGGGGAGGAGCCCAGAGCCUGAAUCAGCAUGUGUGUUAGUGGAAGCGUCUGGAAAGGCGCGCGAUACAGGGUGACAGCCCCGUACACAAAAGCGCAUGUGCUGUGAGCUCGAUGAGUAGGGCGGGACACGUGGUAUCCUGUCUGAAUAUGGGGGGACCAUCCUCCAAGGCUAAAUACUCCUGACUGACCGAUAGUGAACCAGUACCGUGAGGGAAAGGCGAAAAGAACCCCGGCGAGGGGAGUGAAAAAGAACCUGAAACCGUGUACGUACAAGCAGUGGGAGCACNGUGUGACUGCGUACCUUUUGUAUAAUGGGUCAGCGACUUAUAUUCUGUAGCAAGGUUAACCGUAUAGGGGAGCCGGAGGGAAACCGAGUCUUAAUUGGGCGUUAAGUUGCAGGGUAUAGACCCGAAACCCGGUGAUCUAGCCAUGGGCAGGUUGAAGGUUGGGUAACACUAACUGGAGGACCGAACCGACUAAUGUUGAAAAAUUAGCGGAUGACCUGUGGCUGGGGGUGAAAGGCCAAUCAAACCGGGAGAUAGCUGGUUCUCCCCGAAAGCUAUUUAGGUAGCGCCUCGUGAAUUCAUCUCCGGGGGUAGAGCACUGUUUCGGCUAGGGGGCCAUCCCGGCUUACCAACCCGAUGCAAACUGCGAAUACCGGAGAAUGUUAUCACGGGAGACACACGGCGGGUGCUAACGUCCGUCGUGAAGAGGGAAACAACCCAGACCGCCAGCUAAGGUCCCAAAGUCAUGGUUAAGUGGGAAACGAUGUGGGAAGGCCCAGACAGCCAGGAUGUUGGCUUAGAAGCAGCCAUCAUUUAAAGAAAGCGUAAUAGCUCACUGGUCGAGUCGGCCUGCGCGGAAGAUGUAACGGGGCUAAACCAUGCACCGAAGCUGCGGCAGCGAACGUAUCACCCAAGACAACUUUACGGAGUUGACGAUUGACGGAGCGAAGCGACGUCAAAGCGUUCAUUAAAGUCGAGUUGGCUUAGGGAUACGUUCGUUGGGUAGGGGAGCGUUCUGUAAGCCUGUGAAGGUGUGUCGUGAGGCAUGCUGGAGGUAUCAGAAGUGCGAAUGCUGACAUAAGUAACGAUAAAGCGGGUGAAAAGCCCGCUCGCCGGAAGACCAAGGGUUCCUGUCCAACGUUAAUCGGGGCAGGGUGAGUCGACCCCUAAGGCGAGGCCGAAAGGCGUAGUCGAUGGGAAACGGGUUAAUAUUCCCGUACUUGGUGUUACUGCGAAGGGGGGACGGAGAAGGCUAUGUUGGCCGGGCGACGGUUGUCCCGGUUUAAGCGUGUAGGUGUGUGUUCCAGGUAAAUCCGGUUCACUUUAACACUGAGGCGUGACGACGAGGCACUACGGUGCUGAAGCAACAAAUGCCCUGCUUCCAGGAAAAGCCUCUAAGCAUCAGGUAACACGAAAUCGUACCCCAAACCGACACAGGUGGUCAGGUAGAGAAUACCAAGGCGCUUGAGAGAACUCGGGUGAAGGAACUAGGCAAAAUGGUGCCGUAACUUCGGGAGAAGGCACGCUGACACGUAGGUGAAGUGAUUUACUCAUGGAGCUGAAGUCAGUCGAAGAUACCAGCUGGCUGCAACUGUUUAUUAAAAACACAGCACUGUGCAAACACGAAAGUGGACGUAUACGGUGUGACGCCUGCCCGGUGCCGGAAGGUUAAUUGAUGGGGUCAGCGCAAGCGAAGCUCCUGAUCGAAGCCCCGGUAAACGGCGGCCGUAACUAUAACGGUCCUAAGGUAGCGAAAUUCCUUGUCGGGUAAGUUCCGACCUGCACGAAUGGCGUAAUGAUGGCCAGGCUGUCUCCACCCGAGACUCAGUGAAAUUGAACUCGCUGUGAAGAUGCAGUGUACCCGCGGCAAGACGGAAAGACCCCGUGAACCUUUACUAUAGCUUGACACUGAACAUUGAGCCUUGAUGUGUAGGAUAGGUGGGAGGCUUUGAAGUGUGGACGCCAGUCUGCAUGGAGCCGACCUUGAAAUACCACCCUUUAAUGUUUGAUGUUCUAACGUGGACCCGUAAUCCGGGUUGCGGACAGUGUCUGGUGGGUAGUUUGACUGGGGCGGUCUCCUCCUAAAGAGUAACGGAGGAGCACGAAGGUUGGCUAAUCCUGGUCGGACAUCAGGAGGUUAGUGCAAUGGCAUAAGCCAGCUUGACUGCGAGCGUGACGGCGCGAGCAGGUGCGAAAGCAGGUCAUAGUGAUCCGGUGGUUCUGAAUGGAAGGGCCAUCGCUCAACGGAUAAAAGGUACUCCGGGGAUAACAGGCUGAUACCGCCCAAGAGUUCAUAUCGACGGCGGUGUUUGGCACCUCGAUGUCGGCUCAUCACAUCCUGGGGCUGAAGUAGGUCCCAAGGGUAUGGCUGUUCGCCAUUUAAAGUGGUACGCGAGCUGGGUUUAGAACGUCGUGAGACAGUUCGGUCCCUAUCUGCCGUGGGCGCUGGAGAACUGAGGGGGGCUGCUCCUAGUACGAGAGGACCGGAGUGGACGCAUCACUGGUGUUCGGGUUGUCAUGCCAAUGGCACUGCCCGGUAGCUAAAUGCGGAAGAGAUAAGUGCUGAAAGCAUCUAAGCACGAAACUUGCCCCGAGAUGAGUUCUCCCUGAGACUUAGAGUCUCCUGAAGGAACGUUGAAGACGACGACGUUGAUAGGCCGGGUGUGUAAGCGCAGCGAUGCGUUGAGCUAACCGGUACUAAUGAACCGUGAGGCUUAACCUU